CGCAUCUGUGCAUGCAGCAUAUCAAUAAGCGAGGAAAAGAAACUAACAAGGAUUCCCCUAGUAACGGCGAGUGAAGCGGGAAGAGCUCAAAUUUGAAAUCUUAAAGGGUUUCCCUUUACGAAUUGUAGUUUAAAGAAGUGUUUUCUGUUGAGGUUUUGGUAAAAGUUCUUUGGAAUAGGACAUCAUAGAGGGUGAGAAUCCCGUAUUUGACCUUUACUUUCAACUUUGUGAUACACUUUCAAAGAGUCGGAUUGUUUGGGAAUGCAGUCCAAAAUGGGUGGCAAAUUUCAUCUAAAGCUAAAUAUUGGCGAGAGACCGAUAGCGAACAAGUACCGUGAGGGAAAGAUGAAAAGAACUUUGAAAAGAGAGUUAAACAGUACGUGAAAUUGUCAAAAGGGAAGCGUUUGACACCAGUGUUGUUUUUCUGAAAAUCAAUUAAAGAACUGUUUAUGCUAAGUUGUUUAGACUUUAUCAGCUAACUGUUUAGUUUUGAGCUUUUCUUUAAUGCACUUUUCAGUUAACAAGUCAACAUCAAUUUCUUUUGCUGUAAAAAAGCUUGAGGAAGGUGGCUUGAGAUUCGUCUUAAGUGUUUAUAGCCUCUUGCCUAUGCAGUCGGAGAGAUUGAGGUCUGCAGCGUAGAUCCUUCGGGGCUAAAUGCAUUUGUGCUAAGUUAUAACAUUUUAUAGACAACUUGUUGACUAUGAUUUGUCUUGUAGCUUACUCGCUUAUGUUAUUUUACCUACGCUUAGGAUGUUGACAGCAGUAUAGACUGU
rnacentral:rRNA from 1 species